GGAACUGACCUGUAGCAGAAAACUCCCAGAAGCCCGGCGGGAGCCGGCACCACUGGUGAGACAAGGCUACACUGUGCACUUAUAAUUAGGCUUCACCUAGAGAUGCAACCCACUCAAACUACCAACUGAUGAAUGUCUCAAGCAGACCAAAGGUGACCGCGCUGAGGAAAGAAAUCAGGAUCCCAAGAACCUGGAAAGCAGGGCAGUCACGACAAUCGGCAGUUGACAACGUGGGAAAAACGUGUCCCUGGUGGAGGAGGAGUAAGUGCUCUCUCAGAAAUCAGAAGACAAGUUCGACCACCCUCAGACUCUCGGCAGCUCUCAGCUGAGAAAACCAAAGGGUUUGGCCAAAAUUGCUACCAUCAUCAUUCUGUCACAUCUUCGGUGCCGAAUGAGAGGGCUCAGAGUUCGUGUCACGCACACGGGAAAGGGUGAAACUGGGGCCUGUCCAGGUUGAAUGAAGCAGCAGAUGAGAUAGAGCUGCUUCCCACAGGGUGUCCUCCUCACUAUUCCACACUGCCCCUGGAUGGCUUGUGAGGUCCCUGGCAGCUCUCCAUCACAUGAUUCCAAGAUAGGGAGCUUCCUUUGACCCUGGGAGUAAAUCAGCCCAGCUAAAUGGGGGCAGCAAGGGCAAAGAUGACCUUCGAGGGUCAGCCACCUGAAGUAGACUCCUGCAUUGACCAGUUACCACCUCCGAGUCCAGGCCAGUCAUGGAGCCCUUGGUUUUCUCCUCUAAGAAGGAUAGGAAGUAUUUCCUUCUCAGGCUUGUUUGCAGAAUUUAGCAAGAUACAGUUCAAGUGUCGGUUCCCUUGUAAUCUUCCUCUCUCCCUUUCCCACAAACAGUAUUUGGAGAAUAAACAGUAAGUGAGCCUUGUUAGGAAACUUUCUUUCAAAUUAGCUUAGAGUUUAAGAUUUUUUUUUUUUUACAGAGUCUUAUAAAAAAUACUGAAUCUAUCUGUGCAAUAAAAAUAGGCUCAGUAUUUGCUUGGGUGUUUUCCUCACAUAUCUUUCAGUUCUUUGAAGCUUCUUCCAAAUUAUAAGCCAAAAAUAAGAGUGCUGUAAUUUUUAGAAAAAGUUACGUGUAUGCAAUUUUUAUAGCAAGUCACACAAAGAACUAAGCUAUAAUACAUCAUACUCAUGUUCAGUUAUGAAGACCAAGACUGUAAAAAAAAUACCAGCACCAGAAAGCCCUAGUUUAUUUAGUCUGGUUUCCUUAACAUGAAGUUCUUCUUGUUCUUAAAAUAUUCAGCUUUGGCUGAAUUCCAAAGCUGACAUAAGCCUACUUCAGGUGUUUUGAAGAGACUAAAGAGAAUCAGAACUGAAAGCAAAAUUGGAGAAUAAAACCUUUUAUGUGAUCACAAAUGCAAGAACCUUAUUGUUUGAAACCACCAUUAAAUCAAAUUUUCCGCCCACACUUACAAAAAUAAAUAUGUAUAUAUUCUCAUA